rnacentral:sRNA from 1 species
UGGAAGUAAAAAGUUAUUGCUGUUCACUAGUAUAAUUGUUCAUGGAUAUAUUACAAAGUACACUGGUCUUAGUCCGUUUCGUUCGCAAACAUUUGACAGUCAUCGAAGUAUGUGGUGUUUAUACGUUCCGGAAUUGAAAGGAUUGUUGCCUCGUCGUCUCCUAUACUCGAUUUUCAUGUUGUCUGGCACAAUCGAGUCGGUUCAGUCUAGGGGCCAUAGUGUCGUCAGAAGACGCCUGAUACUCCAGAUGGGCGAUUUCGUGUCCAUACAUAUGGUCAUCCUUGGGCGAAUCAUACCUUCUCGGGGCGUCGUACGCAGAAAAAGAAGGUCCUUGCUGAUUGAUUUUUGCCUGGGCUUCCUUGUCCUUCGUUUGCCUGUUCCGGUACAGAUAGAUUGCGACGUAGCUGAUGAUGGAGAGGCCAAUGACAAUCAGAAAGAUACUAGCAAUGAGUCCAGCGCGGUUGAAAGGAUGAAAGUCGUUCGGAUCACGUUGGGAGUCGCGUAAGCCUUCGGUGGCAGAGGAGGCGAGAGAAGCGACAGAAUACGUGGUAAGGACGGAGCCCGGGACAGAAGAGACCGGUUUAGUAGCAGUGGCGACCGCAGAUGAAGAGUCAGCCGUUGAAGUGGUAGGUGAUUGAUUGCUGGUUGUGGGGUCGUGACUGGUGCCAGAGACCGAGGAAAAUGCAUGAGAAGUUGAGAUAGCAGGUGACUCCGUGGCUUGCGGUGCCCUCUUGACCAAUUCACCAGCUCGGCGCCUUUUUCGGCCACUACGGCCAAUCAAUCACUGUCUUAUGUUCUAUACACUACCAACCCACGAUUCGGCGCUUCCUUGUUGAGGUGAAGGGUUCUUUUCCUUCUCAUACUUCCCAGGAUCUUCCACAAGGAGUUCCAUAGCUUCCUGCUUGGAGUCUGUCCGCUUGCUAACCUCAUUCCCAGACUCAUCUACCCAAACCCACUCAUAGCAGUCAUCGAGGUCGACCGAAUUGGCAUCCCUAAAAAUAUGCUUUUAAUCCGCAUACUUUGUUCGGCUGGUACGAAUAACUUACUUGAGUGCAGAAACAGCGUCAAUAUCAAAAAGCCUCGUAGAACCAUUUUGAGGUUGAGAUCUGCCAGAAACCUUGUGUCCAGAAAACUGUGUUAGACUUGGGUCGACCUGAGGAAAUGCAGGCGAGAUUGUUGCGCUUGCACUAACCUUGUGCUCUGGGUAUCGAUUCGAACUAGCAACGCCACUAACGUCGAUUUUCUGACGGGGAAGGGUGCUAGGGUUGGCAUCGACCCUGUGCACCGGCAAGGUACUAGCUUCAUACACUUCACUUUUCUGUGGGGUCGGCGUGCUCGACAAAGAGGUACGGAUUGGAUCCUCAAACUUUAUCACUCCAUGGACGGAAUGGGCUUGGGUUGGGGAGGAGCUGGGAUAACUACCAUGAGUAAUUGCGAUGGCGUCGGCGAUGGCCGAAGUAUUGAUCUCGGCGUUGGUCAGCGGAGGGUCAGUGGCAAGGAGAAAUAAUAGGGCAAGAAGACGGAGUUGAGGACGGGAGAUGAACAUUGAUGGUUGGGUAAUAUAGGGUUAUAUAGGGUUAGAGGGUUCGAUGCUUUUAAAGGAUAGAUUGGGAUAAAGAACGAAAUUGGUCAGUAAUAUGGAUAGGUAUCAAAAUAAUACAAGCAUG